GGCUGGUCCAAAGGUACUGAGUUGUCUUUAUUGAUUGUUCACAGUCAGUUACAGAUGGAACUCCUUUUUCUACUCUUUGGCCCCUUCUCACCACUGUACAUGACUAGCCUUUA
rnacentral:Y_RNA from 1 species